UCAUGGUGGCUUCCUGAAGAAAGUGAUUGUGAGUGACUGUUGGACCUACAGGAAGGGUUGUCAGGAUGCAGAGAACUGAUGUGUGUGAGUGGGGAAGUCCAAAGGCCCUGUCCAGCCAUGCACCUCAUCCUAGCCCUUUGCUCCCUCCUGCAGAUCGAGGCGCUCCCCCCGGAGCUCUUCCAGUGUCGGAAGCUGCGGGCUCUACACCUGGGCAACAAUGUUCUGCAGUCACUGCCCUCGAGAGUGGGUGAGCUGACCAACCUGACGCAGAUUGAGCUUCGGGGCAACCGGCUGGAGUGCCUGCCCGUGGAGCUGGGCGAGUGUCCCCUGCUCAAGCGCAGCGGCCUGGUGGUAGAGGAGGACUUGUUCAGCACACUGCCGCCUGAGGUGAAGGAACGGCUCUGGAGAGCUGACAAGGAGCAGGCCUGAGCACAGCCUGGAGGAGCAGCACAGAGCCGCAGCACACCCUCAGGCCAGCGGGCAGCCCAGCUCUCCCCAGACUGCUGGACAGCCAGCCGGGCCCAGCCAAACAGAGGCUGGGCCAGAGCAGAAAACGGGGACUGAGGGGCUGGCCCCUUUUCUCCUGCUGGGACAUGUACACCCAGGGCAGGCACUUGCUGGAGACCAGCAUCUCAGAAUGCAGUGUUUGGACAAUCAGGGUCUUCACGCUGGAGCCCUCUCUGCCUCAGUGCUGGGCUGAGCCAGCCCCCAAGCAAGGCCCAGGAACAGUAACCUAGAUCUGGGUAUUUAUUUCCACUUCCCACCUUCUCCUUCCAGAUAACUUACACAUUCCCAAGAGGGUCGGGCUCUGUGGGCAGUGUUUAGCACCCUGGCAGUCACCUUUUUCUUUUUCGGGUGAUACUGACAGAAUCAAAUCAAGUGCCCAUCCGUCCAGACUUGGGCAGGGUUGGGUAGGGUGAGCCAGCCGCAGGACGGUUGCCGUAUUGGCACUGGGCUAGGCUCUGGCAGCAAAGCGUGCGGGAGACCAGGCCUCCAGGUUGAAGGGUCAGGCCUGGGCUUGCCCCAUCAGUUUUUGAAGCAAUUUUAGAUUUUUUUUUCUUUUUUUUAAGCAAGGGUUUUUUGGGGGGGAGGGAGUUGGUUGUUUUUUUAAGCUUUGAAAUGAUGGGUGAGGUAUUUAAAAAAAAAAAUUAAAAAAAAAAAGACACUAAAGGCCAGUGAGUUGAAGUCUCAGGUGGGUGGUAUUUCCCCCUUGAGCAAAGCAGCAAGACAUUGAACAAAAUUUCCUCUCCCUGGGGUGUGGGCCAGGAUGUCUUCCCAGUCUGUCCUGACCUUGGUCCAGAAGUGCUAUUUGCUCUUCUCGUCUCCUGGGGCAGGCUUUUAUUUUGUUUGCUUUUAAGGUUUUGUUUUUUUUUUCCUUUUUUUUUUUUUUUUGGUGUCCUGUUAUUUUUUUUCUCCUCCAUGGGCCUUGGCAGGCACUCUUUUCAUGGCUGUCAGCCAAAAGGAAGGCUCUGGAGCUGCCAAGAAUGGGGGAGACUUGGGCUGGCUAAUUCCCAGAUGAACGGUGCUCCAUCCCCCUCCCCACCCCCAUAAUGCCCCUCCACGCACAGUGUUAAGGAGCCCAGAGCAGCUGCUUCCCCCGUCCCCCCAACCCAGCCCCCAACUCUGUCCCCACAUCAAGGAUUUGCUCAAUACCACCUCUCGCCUCUUCUGCUUACAUUAGCUCUGUCACCAUCUGGUCCAUCGUGAAGAGCUGACAUUUAGAGGUAGAUUGGGCAUGAGAGGUCACCACUGGGAGGGCAGGCUCCCCAGUUUUGGGGUUCCAGGACAGUUGUUACUGGGCGCCUGGUUUGCACACAGUACAGUUAGCAUCUAGUGGUGGUAAGCCACUCUGCUUUAGAUCAGUCACUAGGGUCCCCACCUAGAAGGGUCCUUGCCUUAGAUCAAUCCCACGGACACUAAGGCACGUUUAGCGUCUCUUGUCUUAAUGAUUGUGUCUGUCUCCGUCAAUUUGUGUUUUCCGCGUCAUGUCGUUGGAUGUAACCCUUGGAAAUACUGCACACUAGCCUCUGACAACCACGAAGCAAUCCGUUACUCAUGGGUCUGACUUGUAGACUCAGUUCAGAUAUCAAAUAAAUCUAUAACACAAUU
rnacentral:lncRNA from 1 species